rnacentral:rRNA from 1 species
AAUGAACGCUGGCGGCAUGCCUAACACAUGCAAGUCGAACGAAGGCUUCGGCCUUAGUGGCGCACGGGUGCGUAACGCGUGGGAAUCUGCCCUCAGGUUCGGAAUAACAGCGAGAAAUUGCUGCUAAUACCGGAUGAUAUCGCGAGAUCAAAGAUUUAUCGCCUGAGGAUGAGCCCGCGUAGGAUUAGCUAGUUGGUGUGGUAAAGGCGCACCAAGGCGACGAUCCUUAGCUGGUCUGAGAGGAUGAUCAGCCACACUGGGACGGAGACACGGCCCAGACUCCUACGGGAGGCAGCAGUGGGGAAUAUUGGACAAUGGCCGAAAGCCUGAUCCAGCAAUGCCGCGUGAGUGAUGAAGGCCUUAGGGUUGUAAAGCUCUUUUACCCGGGAUGAUAAUGACAGUACCGGGAGAAUAAGCUCCGGCUAACUCCGUGCCAGCCGCCGCGGUAA